rnacentral:rRNA from 1 species
UCGAGUUUGUUUGGGAUUGCAGCUCAAAAUGGGAGGUAAAUUUCUCCUAAGGUAAAUAUCGGCGAGAGACCGAUAGCGAACAAGUACCGUGAGGGAAAGAUGAAAAGAACUUGAAAAGAGAGUUAAAUAGUACGUGAAAUUGUUAAAAGGGAAACGAUUGAAGUCAGUCAGCUUGCAAGUAAUCAGCUUAAAGUAUUCUUUGAGUGUACUUUCUUGUCUAGCAAGUUAGGUCGAUUUUAAUUAUCUUAAAAUAACUAGGGGAAUGUAACUCCCUCGGGAGCGUUAUAGCCUUGGUAAGAUGAGAUGAUUGAGAUCGAGGAUUGCAGCGAAUGCUCAUUAGGGCUAGCACUUAAUCUCUGAAUGGCCCCUGAUUAUGAACAGCUUGCUGAUUAUGAUUAGGUUAGCUAUCAAAAGGUUUCGUUUGCUUAAAUUCGUUAAGGAUGCUGACGUAAUGGCUUUAAACGA